rnacentral:rRNA from 1 species
AUCCCCGGGCUCAACCUGGGAACUGCAUUCGAAACUGGCAGGCUAGAGUCUUGUAGAGGGGGGUAGAAUUCCAGGUGUAGCGGUGAAAUGCGUAGAGAUCUGGAGGAAUACCGGUGGCGAAGGCGGCCCCCUGGACAAAGACUGACGCUCAGGUGCGAAAGCGUGGGGAGCAAACAGGAUUAGAUACCCUGGUAGUCCACGCCGUAAACGAUGUCGAUUUGGAGGUUGUGCCCUUGAGGCGUGGCUUCCGGAGCUAACGCGUUAAAUCGACCGCCUGGGGAGUACGGCCGCAAGGUUAAAACUCAAAUGAAUUGACGGGGGCCCGCACAAGCGGUGGAGCAUGUGGUUUAAUUCGAUGCAACGCGAAGAACCUUACCUGGUCUUGACAUCCACAGAACUUUCCAGAGAUGGAUUGGUGCCUUCGGGAACUGUGAGACAGGUGCUGCA